rnacentral:rRNA from 1 species
UUCUAUCUUGCUAGAAGUGGAUUAGUGGCGCACGGGUGAGUAAGGUAUAGUUAAUCUGCCCUACACAAGAGGACAACAGUUGGAAACGACUGCUAAUACUCUAUACUCCUGCUUAACACAAGUUGAGUAGGGAAAGUUUUUCGGUGUAGGAUGAGACUAUAUAGUAUCAGCUAGUUGGUAAGGUAAUGGCUUACCAAGGCUAUGACGCUUAACUGGUCUGAGAGGAUGAUCAGUCACACUGGAACUGAGACACGGUCCAGACUCCUACGGGAGGCAGCAGUAGGGAAUAUUGCGCAAUGGGGGAAACCCUGACGCAGCAACGCCGCGUGGAGGAUGACACUUUUCGGAGCGUAAACUCCUUUUCUUAGGGAAGAAUUCUGACGGUACCUAAGGAAUAAGCACCGGCUAACUCCGUGCCAGCAGCCGCGGUAAUACGGAGGGUGCAAGCGUUACUCGGAAUCACUGGGCGUAAAGGGCGCGUAGGCGGAUUAUCAAGUCUCUUGUGAAAUCUAAUGGCUUAACCAUUAAACUGCUUGGGAAACUGAUAGUCUAGAGUGAGGGAGAGGCAGAUGGAAUUGGUGGUGUAGGGGUAAAAUCCGUAGAUAUCACCAAGAAUACCC